rnacentral:lncRNA from 1 species
GGUGUCUUCAGGAUUUUCUCAUCUGAUGAAUUUUCUACCCUUUUCAGUCACUAUAAAGUGUUACAACUUAAAUUUAGACGCAACACAUAAAUAGUAAUUGGAAAGGUACUGCCAUUGCAUGUGUUAUGCAGAAACUAAUUUAAAAUCGAUGCGUACAAUCGUGAAAUUAUGAGGUCGUCAAGAAAUGAACUUUGUGAUAAUCUACUCGUUCCCCAAACCUGAAAUAGUUCUAUCGUCUGCUUUCAAAAUACCUUGUAAAUGAAUGUGACCGUCUUUCGCCUGAAAUAUAUAUGCCAUACUGACAUUUUCAGCAUGUUUAAGACAACUGCGUCUUCAAAACAACUGUUUACUUUCAGUUUGUGUUUAUCGUGACUUUCGAUGUAAAAUCUAGAGACGUUCCGAAA